rnacentral:rRNA from 1 species
AUUGAACGCUGGCGGCAGGCCUAACACAUGCAAGUCGAGCGGGGUUUUCGGACCUAGCGGCGGACGGGUGAGUAAUGCGUAGGAAGCUACCCGAUAGAGGGGGAUACCAGUUGGAAACGACUGUUAAUACCGCAUAAUGUCUACGGACCAAAGUGUGGGACCUUCGGGCCACAUGCUAUCGGAUGCGCCUACGUGGGAUUAGCUAGUUGGUGAGGUAAUGGCUCACCAAGGCGACGAUUCCUAGCUGGUUUGAGAGGAUGAUCAGCCACACUGGAACUGAGACACGGUCCAGACUCCUACGGGAGGCGGCAGUGGGGAAUAUUGGACAAUGGGCGCAAGCCUGAUCCAGCCAUGCCGCGUGUGUGAAGAAGGCCUUCGGGUUGUAAAGCACUUUCAGUAGGGAGGAAGGGUGUUGUGUUAAUAGCACAGCAUUUUGACGUUACCUACAGAAAAAGCACCGGCUAACUCUGUGCCAGCAGCCGCCGUAAAAC